rnacentral:lncRNA from 1 species
GAAAGCCCCUGUCACCGUGACCUCCCUUCCCGCCGGAGUGCGGAUGGUUGUGCCAACACAGAGUGCCCAGGGAACGGUGAUUGGCAGUAGCCCACAGAUGAGUGGGAUGGCCGCGCUGGCCGCUGCGGCCGCUGCCACCCAGAAGAUCCCCCCUUCCUCGGCACCCACGGUGCUGAGUGUCCCAGCGGGUACCACCAUCGUGAAGACCAUGGCUGUGACACCUGGCACUACCACCCUCCCAGCCACUGUGAAGGUGGCCUCCUCGCCAGUCAUGGUGAG